rnacentral:rRNA from 1 species
GACGAACGCUGGCGGCGUGCUUAACACAUGCAAGUCGAACGGAAAGGCCCUGCUUUUGUGGGGUGCUCGAGUGGCGAACGGGUGAGUAACACGUGAGUAACCUGCCCUUGACUUUGGGAUAACUUCAGGAAACUGGGGCUAAUACCGGAUAGGAGCUCCUGCUGCAUGGUGGGGGUUGGAAAGUUUCGGCGGUUGGGGAUGGACUCGCGGCUUAUCAGCUUGUUGGGGGGGUAGUGGCUUACCAAGGCUUUGACGGGUAGCCGGCCUGAGAGGGUGACCGGCCACAUUGGGACUGAGAUACGGCCCAGACUCCUACGGGAGGCAGCAGUGGGGAAUAUUGCACAAUGGGCGGAAGCCUGAUGCAGCAACGCCGCGUGCGGGAUGACGGCCUUCGGGUUGUGAACCGCUUUCGCCUGUGACGAAGCGUGAGUGACGGUAAUGGGUAAAGAAGCACCGGCUAACUACGUG